rnacentral:rRNA from 2 species
UGGGGAAUAUUGGACAAUGGGCGAAAGCCUGAUCCAGCCAUGCCGCGUGUGUGAAGAAGGCCUUUUGGUUGUAAAGCACUUUAAGCGAGGAGGAGGCUACUGAGAUUAAUACUCUUGGAUAGUGGACGUUACUCGCAGAAUAAGCACCGGCUAACUCUGUGCCAGCAGCCGCGGUAAUACAGAGGGUGCGAGCGUUAAUCGGAUUUACUGGGCGUAAAGCGUGCGUAGGCGGCUUUUUAAGUCGGAUGUGAAAUCCCUGAGCUUAACUUAGGAAUUGCAUUCGAUACUGGGAAGCUAGAGUAUGGGAGAGGAUGGUAGAAUUCCAGGUGUAGCGGUGAAAUGCGUAGAGAUCUGGAGGAAUACCGAUGGCGAAGGCAGCCAUCUGGCCUAAUACUGACGCUGAGGUACGAAAGCAUGGGGAGCAAACAGG